AUAUUAAUAAGGCUAGACCGGCGCACGGGUGCGUAACACGUAUGCAACCUACCUUAUACUGGGGAAUAACUUCGAGAAAUCGGCGCUAAUACCCCAUAACAUUGCGAAAUGGCAUCAUUUUGCAAUUAAAGCUCCGGCGGUAUAAGAUGGGCAUGCGUCCAAUUAGCUAGUUGGUGAGGUAACUGCUCACCAAGGCUACGAUUGGUAGGGGUUCUGAGAGGAUGAUCCCCCACACUGGUACUGAGACACGGACCAGACUCCUACGGGAGGCAGCAGUGAGGAAUAUUGCGCAAUGGACGAAAGUCUGACGCAGCCAUGCCGCGUGCAGGAUGACGGCCCUAUGGGUUGUAAACUGCUUUUGUAUGGGAAUAAACCCUUCUACGUGUAGAAGGCUGAAGGUACCAUAAGAAUAAGCACCGGCUAACUCCGUGCCAGCAGCCGCGGUAAUACGGAGGGUGCAAGCGUUAUCCGGAUUUAUUGGGUUUAAAGGGUCCGUAGGCGGGCCGAUAAGUC
rnacentral:rRNA from 1 species